rnacentral:rRNA from 1 species
CACGUAGGGGGCGAGCGUUGUCCGGAUUUAUUGGGCGUAAAGAGCUCGUAGGCGGCUCAGUAAGUCAGGUGUGAAACCUCCAGGCUCAACCUGGAGACGCCACCUGAUACUGCUGUGGCUUGAGUCCGGUAGGGGAGUGUGGAAUUCCUGGUGUAGCGGUGAAAUGCGCAGAUAUCAGGAGGAACACCAAUGGCGAAGGCAGCUCGCUGGGACGGUACUGACGCUGAGGCGCGAAAGCGUGGGGAGCAAACAGG